rnacentral:rRNA from 1 species
CCCUAUGGGGUGCAGCAGGCGCGAAAACUUGGCAAUGCGAGAAAUCGUGACCAGGGAACUCCAAGUGGCUGGGGUAAGACCCAGUCUUUUCUUGACUCUUCAAAGGUCUUGGAAUAAGGGGUGGGUAAGGACGGUGCCAGCCGCCGCGGUAAUACCGGCGCCUCAAGUGGUAGUCGAUUUUAUUGGGCCUAAAACGUCCGUCGCCUGUUUGGUACAUUCGUGGGUAAAUCAACCAGCUCAACUGGUUGAAUUCUGCGAGCACGGCCAGACUUGGGACCGGGAGAGGUGUGGGGUACGCUCAGGGUAGGGGUAAAAUCCUGUCAUCCUGAGCGGACCACCUGUUGCGAAGGCUCCACACUAGAACGGAUCCGACGGUCAGGGACGAAGCCUAGGGGCACGAACCGGAUUAGAUACCCGGGUAGUCCUAGGUGUAAACGCUGUGGACUUGGUGUUGGGAAGGUUCCGAGCCUUCUCAGUGCCGAAGCGAAGGUGAUAAGUCCACUGCCUGGGGAGUACGGUCGCAAGGCUGAAACUUAAAGGAAUUGGCGGGGGAGCACCGCAACCUGAGGAUUGUGCGGUUUAAUUGGAUUCAACGCCGGAAAACUCACCAGUGCCGACGGACAAAUGAAAGCCAGUGUGAUGAGCUUGCUGGAUUGUUCGAGAGGAAGUGCAUGGCC